rnacentral:rRNA from 1 species
GACGAACGCUGGCGGCGUGCUUAACACAUGCAAGUCGAACGGAAAGGCCCUGCUUUUGUGGGGUGCUCGAGUGGCGAACGGGUGAGUAACACGUGAGUAACCUGCCCUUGACUUUGGGAUAACUUCAGGAAACUGGGGCUAAUACCGGAUAGGAGCUCCUGCUGCAUGGUGGGGGUUGGAAAGUUUCGGCGGUUGGGGAUGGACUCGCGGCUUAUCAGCUUGUUGGGGGGGUAGUGGCUUACCAAGGCUUUGACGGGUAGCCGGCCUGAGGGGGUGACCGGCCACAUUGGGCCUGAGAUACGGCCCAGACUCCUACGGGAGGCAGCAGUGGGGAAUAUUGCACAAUAGGCGGAGGCCUGAUGCAGCAACGCCGCGUGCGGGAUGACGGCCUUCGGGUUGUAAACCGCUUUCGCCUGUGACGAAGCGUGAGUGACGGUAAUGGGUAAAGAAGCACCGGCUAACUACGUG